AGUAAUGUCUGGGAAACUGCCUGAUGGAGGGGGAUAACUGCUGGAAACGGUAGCUAAUACCGCAUAAUGUCGCAAGACCAAAGAGGGGGACCUUCGGGCCUCUUGCCAUCGGAUGUGCCCAGAUGGGAUUAGCUAGUAGGUGGGGUAACGGCUCACCUAGGCGACGAUCCCUAGCUGGUCUGAGAGGAUGACCAGCCACACUGGAACUGAGACACGGUCCAG
rnacentral:rRNA from 1 species